rnacentral:rRNA from 1 species
GAUGAACGCUGGCGGCGUGCUUAACACAUGCAAGUCGAACGAAGAAGUUAGAACAGUUUACUUCGGUUUGAAGGCCAUUAUGACUGAGUGGCGGAAGGGUGAGUAACGCGAGGGUAACAUGACUUGUACUGGGGGAUAGCAGCUGGGAAUGGCUGGUAAUACCGCAUAAGCGCACAAUGUUACAUGACAUGGUGUGAAAAGCGCCGGUGGUAUAAGAUGGUCCUGCGUCUGAUUAGCUAGUUGGUGAGAUAACAGCCCACCCUGGCGACGAUCAGUAGCCGACCUGUGAGGGUGCCCGGCCGCAUUGAGACAGAGACACGGCUCAUACUCCUACGGGAGGCAGCAGUGGGGAAUAAUGCAGAAUAGAGGAAACUCAGAUACGGCGACGCCGCGAUAGUGACGAAGUAGUUCGUAAUGUAUAGCGCUAGCAGCAGGGAAGAUAGUGACGGAACCGGACUAAGAAGCUCCGGCAAAAUACGU